rnacentral:lncRNA from 1 species
GAAACGAUUCAUACUGCAAGCCGCCUAAAUGCAGGGCUUUUGAUGAUAUUCCCCGCCAACAAGGGUGUUUUGAAGAGAGUGAAGGAAACAGACAGGACUUUGAAAGGAAAAACAGACAUCUAAUUGGCUGUCUCUUGCCGACCCUCCAGUGACCCUGCACUGAAUACCUCUAAUGGACGUGUGUGAUCUUGGAGCCUCUACCGCAAUAAACGAGUUUUAGACUUUCAA